AAUCAAUGGAAAAAACCUGACGAAACGGGCUUUAGAACACGGUUUCGGAAUGGAAGGAAGGCACGUAAACGGAACUCUAACCCGACCCGAAAAACAUAUGCACAAACCAAAACUGUCUUCAUUCGGAGCUCCGUGAACUACACUCUCUUUUGUCUCUCGGUUUCAGAGAGAGGGAGAAGAAAAUGAUGGAGCAGAGAGAGAGAGAGAGAGAGAUAGAGAGAGCUCGUGGAUGGCUUCAAUGUGUCUAUUCGCUGGUGGGGGCCGAAAGAGUACACAGUGUCACAGUUAUGAUCACAGAGCUCUGGUCAAACGCCGUAUGCUCAACUCUACCGAUAUUCACUACCCUCGCGCCACUCCGGAGGCUUUCAUAUUAAAUUGGUUACACUGGUCUACCUUCAUAAAUCUAAUUUUUAAAUUGAGUCCUGCCCCAAGGUAAAUCAAUCUGCUAUAUAGUUUGCCACAAGGUAAAUCCUUUGUUUUUUUGCUUUGUUCCAAUCUUCCAUCUUAAAAUCUCUCUGCUUGGUAGGCUAGCAUACUUCUAGAAUGCACAAAAUAUUUGCAUAUAUGGUUAGUAAGUACUCCUUGAAGAAGCUUUUCUCAGAAUAGUACUCCCCCCCCUCCCCACAAGACAUUAGACUGGUCGUUGUCUCUUGUAAUCCAUUAUAUGUAAAUUUUUUUUUUCAAUCCUUUAUUAUCAUUGUUAUUAUUGUUGUUAUUAUUGUUAUAAUAUAGCAUGCAUUAGGAUUUUACAUGUGCCCUGAUUUGGUUGCAAAGACAAGGAAGGUGGCGUAGAUGUGAUCGAAAUUUAUGAUUAUUCAUCACCAUGCUCACUAUUUAUUUUUAUCUGACUGCUGGAACACACGUGCCAAGGUUUGCUUCUUUCCUGUGCAUUAGUAGAUUUGAUAGUUCAAAAUUACUGACAAAACGAGAUACAUGAGCUUCGUUGGAAAGGCGAUAUACUUUUAAGCGUGACUGUACUAGACAUUAACUUCAGUUAGUGCUGCUAGUCCAGUUAGGGAAUCACCAAAAAGUGGUUCAUUGGAAAAACAAUAUUUAGAAUUAGAAGUAAAUAUAAAGGCCAUUUAACUGUUGAUACGAGUGUGCCUUUUAUAAAAAGAGUAUAAUUAGCUGACAUGUCACUCCAGUGCUGAUGAUAGAAGAAGAUCCGUUAGUUAUUGUACAAAGCAUGAGUCAUACAGAGGCUAAAAAUACAAACAAUGAGUCAUACACUCAUACUAUGUGUGAUCUAACAUUGUAAAAUCCUAGGUUAGAAAUAUCACUUAACAGGCAGGAAGCUGUUUAAAACAUGCUUCAAGCUUACACAAUCAUGAUUGCAGAGUCAGUUACAUCUAACUUUUGCGUGUCUCAUUAUUUUGAGAAGUUUACUUCUUCCUAUCUCACACAAUUAUGUGAUAAAAUAUCGAUCUUUACUUGGUCUUUUAUCAUUGUUACAAAUGGAAUGAAUAUAAUAAGUAUUUUUAGUGGUCCUACUUCCUUUCUUCUCUUUUGAAUUUAUUUUUGGGAAAUGCAUACAAUUUUACCUCAUAUUGAAUGUCUCUAUUCUUUUCCUUUGUCAUGAUUAAAGCAGGUUGCAAAAAAAUUCUAUUAAAGAUGGUAGAGUAUGAUUUGCCUCUUUCAUUAGAUGCAAGAAAUGAUGAUUGAGAAUAAUGGUUUUUAAUGUGGUGAAGUUCUUGGGGAGAGAAGAAUACAUUUAUUGUCCAAUGUAUUUCAGCAUUAUUUGACAAAGCAUUUGUCUGACUAUAUCUCUAAUCAGGGGCUUACCAGCAACGCCUUUUUGGUGGAGUUGACAAUCACUACUGGACCUUGAUUUCCUGCAUCUGCAUCAAUCCCUGCUUUACCUUUUCCCAUCUGUGGGCUGCACGUUAUUUUUACCGUAAACAGCCUUGGAAAAGCAGGUUUGGUGAAGAAUAUUUGUUUUUGAUGAUGAAAUUGCAUUUUGGGAGUUAGAUGCGUGAUGUGCUGCUGCCUAUAUAUGUUAACCGCCAACUUCAAGGAUGACUAGGAGCCUUCUCUUUACAUUUUAUUCACCUUUGGAUAUCAAACACACAAUACAGUAGAAAAAACUUGCACAAUAAACGAGGAAGGCAAACCAUGAACGUGAAAACAAUCUGUGAUUAAAAAUUUUGGUUCAAAUGUUGAAGUUACAAGUUCUAUAAGAAGCCAGAGAAAGUAGUUUUCCUCAUAGAAAAGAACCUAUUGUGGGAUAUAGAUUUUCCCUUUGAUGGAAUCAUCUACUAUAAAUCUUUUUAUUUUAUUUUGUUAUCUUU